AAGUCCACAUCUCUGCAGGUUAAAUGCACAAUCAAGAUAUGAAAAUGAAAAAAAAAAAUCUCUAUAUUUUAUAUAUAUUUCUCUGCGUGUGUGAAGGGGAAAAGAAAUUACAUGGCAACUGCUAAAAGUAGAAAUGUAAAUCUAUGUGGCUUGUGCACUGCUCCAACCCAGCACCAUAUUAAUCAGGCAUGAUGCACAUUAGUACAAAGGUUUGGAAGUAACAUCUAGAUUAUAGAAUUCAUUGCAGCACAAAACA
rnacentral:misc_RNA from 1 species